rnacentral:lncRNA from 1 species
CUGCAUUGAUAUUAGUACCAGUGAGAUGACAAACAUUGUCCCUGAAGCAAGCUUCUAAAAGCAACUCAUCUGAUAUUGAACCUCAGAAACAUCAAGUAAUGAUCACAAAUCACGAAGCUUCACAAACAUCAACACUUCAGAUUAACCUUUAUUGGUGCACAUAUCCAACCAAUAGUCAAAGGCUUUUAAGAAAACUAUGGUUCAUUGGGACUACAAUCACUGAAUACUAGAGGAAAGAUAGCAUCCUUCCUCCUAGUGCGUACACAGAAAAUAGAAUGAAUCUCAACAGUAUAAUUAGAGCCGAAUUAGACAGAAAUUCUUGGAUACGUGUGUGUGUGCGUGGUUUUUGGGGGGGGGGGGGGGGGUCAUCAUCACCAACAAAAUGUCCAAUGAAUACCAUUUUUCCGAAUGAAAGCAGCAGUAGAAAUAAGAAAUAAGUAUACUCCUACUCAAAAAAAAAAAGGUAUAGCAAAGAUAUAGAAGAAAGAAUAGUGAACCCUAUAACAUUUCCUACUGAUUAAUUUAGUCACCAGUGAUAAGAGGUCAAAGAAAUUUCUUGCAAGCAUAACAAUCCAACCAUUCAUCCAUAAAAUAUACAAGGGCAGAAGUUACCACUACUAAUCAAGAAAGCAAUCCUUUACCAACCCACAAAAUCCAUAUGAAGGAGAAAAAAAGGUGCAAUUACCAUGUGAGGGAACUUGUCUUGAUCAACGACCUUUGUGGUUUCGAGCUUAAUGUUGAGAUACUGAUCAACUGAAUGGAGCG